GACGAACGCUGGCGGCGUGCUUAACACAUGCAAGUCGAACGGAAAGGCCCUGCUUGCAGGGUACUCGAGUGGCGAGCGGGUGAGUAACACGUGGGUGAUCUGCCCUGCACUUCGGGAUAAGCCUGGGAAACUGGGUCUAAUACCGGAUAGGAGCCAUUUUUAGUGUGAUGGUUGGAAAGUUUUUUCGGUGUAGGAUGAGCUCGCGGCCUAUCAGCUUGUUGGUGGGGUAAUGGCCUACCAAGGCGGUGACGGGUAGCCGGCCUGAGAGGGUGGACGGCCACAUUGGGACUGAGAUACGGCCCAGACUCCUACGGGAGGCAGCAGUGGGGAAUAUUGCACAAUGGGCGCAAGCCUGAUGCAGCGACGCCGCGUGGGGGAUGACGGCCUUCGGGUUGUAAACUCCUUUCGCUAGGGACGAAGCUUUUUGUGACGGUACCUAGAUAAGAAGCACCGGCUAACUACGUG
rnacentral:rRNA from 1 species